GGGGAAUAUUGCACAAUGGAGGAAACUCUGAUGCAGCGACGCCGCGUGAGUGAAGAAGUAAUUCGUUAUGUAAAGCUCUAUCAGCAGGGAAGAUAGUGACGGUACCUGACUAAGAAGCUCCGGCUAAAUACGUGCCAGCAGCCGCGGUAAUACGUAUGGAGCAAGCGUUAUCCGGAUUUACUGGGUGUAAAGGGAGUGUAGGUGGCAUCACAAGUCAGAAGUGAAAGCCCGGGGCUCAACCCCGGGACUGCUUUUGAAACUGUGGAGCUGGAGUGCAGGAGAGGCAAGUGGAAUUCCUAGUGUAGCGGUGAAAUGCGUAGAUAUUAGGAGGAACACCAGUGGCGAAGGCGGCUUGCUGGACUGUAACUGACACUGAGGCUCGAAAGCGUGGGGAGCAAAC
rnacentral:rRNA from 1 species